GGAAUAUUGCACAAUGGGCGCAAGCCUGAUGCAGCCAUGCCGCGUGUGUGAAGAAGGCCUUCGGGUUGUAAAGCACUUUCAGUCGUGAGGAAGGUAGUGUGUUUAAUAGAUGCAUUAUUUGACGUUAGCGACAGAAGAAGCACCGGCUAACUCCGUGCCAGCAGCCGCGGUAAUACGGAGGGUGCGAGCGUUAAUCGGAAUUACUGGGCGUAAAGCGCAUGCAGGUGGUGUGUUAAGUCAGAUGUGAAAGCCCGGGGCUCAACCUCGGAAUAGCAUUUGAAACUGGCAGACUAGAGUACUGUAGAGGGGGGUAGAAUUUCAGGUGUAGCGGUGAAAUGCGUAGAGAUCUGAAGGAAUACCGGUGGCGAAGGCGGCCCCCUGGACAGAUACUGACACUCAGAUGCGAAAGCGUGGGGAGCAAACAGGAUUAGAUACCCUGGUAGUCCACGCCGUAAACGAUGUCUACUUGGAGGUUGUGGCCUUGAGCCGUGGCUUUCGGAGCUAACGCGUUAAGUAGACCGCCUGG
rnacentral:rRNA from 1 species